CUAUCAUGUGGGUGGAUCUGUAAAUCACAUACAAUGGAAGUAAAAGGAUGAUUCAGUGUGAAGGUGCCAAGUGGAAUGCAGAUCUAUGUGCUGCAUGGAACAGGAGCUGCCUAAGCUGCACCAAGCUCAGCCAUGUGCCAGAAUCAAGGCCUGAGCAGGCUCUCUGAGCUUUAUUGUCAACUUUAAAUGAUAAGAUAACAGCAGCUUCCUAGAAGAUUGCUUUAAGAAUUGCAGAUUAAUCAUGCAGGUAUGGUCAAGAGAGACACUGGAAGAUGGAAGUUACUUCAGUGUUCCAGUUGCUGGUGUAGCCAGGGCUUCACAGCGUGGAAGUAUGGCAUCAUGAUGUCUACUGCACAUCUAUUCCCAACCCCAUAUUCAGUUGUUUCAUGUAGUCUCUUGAAAUCUAUGGAAACUAGAAAACACUACAAAUAAAGCCUUGAUUUAUUGUUUUGUUGAUUGUCUUGACUUAAGAAACUGAUAGACAAUGUGUUAUUAAUGCAGAUUAAACUUAAAAAUGUUUACCUCAGUGGCCGUUAUACUGUGAAUACCACAAAAACUGAGCAAAUAUUUUUCUAGUAUUUGAAAAGUAUUAUCCAAUUCAGCAAAUAAUGUCACUUUUAAGUGAAUAAAGUAUGGGCAUGCCUUCAUUGCUUUAGUUUCUUGUUACUUGUAAACAC
rnacentral:lncRNA from 10 species